AUUGAACGCUGGCGGCAUGCCUUACACAUGCAAGUCGAACGGCAGCACGGGGCAACCCGGUGGCGAGUGGCGAACGGGUGAGUAAUGCAUCGGAACGUACCUUUCAGUGGGGGAUAACGUAGCGAGAGUUACGCUAAUACCGCAUAUCCUGUGAGCAGGAAAGCAGGGGAGCGAAAGACCUUGCGCAGAUUGAGCGGCCGAUGUCUGAUUAGCUAGUUGGUGGGGUAAAGGCUCACCAAGGCGACGAUCUGUAGCGGGUCUGAGAGGAUGAUCGGCCACACUGGGACUGAGACACGGUCCAGACUCCUACGGGAGGCAGCAGUAGGGAAUUUUGGUCAAUGGGGGCAACCCUGAUCCAGCCAUGCCGCGUGAGUGAAGAAGGCCUUCGGGUUGUAAAGCUCUUUCGGCCGGGAAGAAAUCGCACGAGCUAGUACCCUGUGUGGAUGACGGUACCGGAAUAAGAAGCACCGGCUAACUACGUGCCAGCCGCCGCCGUAACAC
rnacentral:rRNA from 1 species